AUUGAACGCUGGCGGCAUGCUUUACACAUGCAAGUCGAACGGCAGCGCGGGCUUCGGCCUGGCGGCGAGUGGCGAACGGGUGAGUAAUGCAUCGGAACGUGCCCAGUAGUGGGGGAUAGCCCGGCGAAAGCCGGAUUAAUACCGCAUACGACCUGAGGGUGAAAGCUGGGGACCGAAAGGCCUCGCGCUAUCGGAGCGGCCGAUGUCGGAUUAGCUAGUUGGUUGGGUAAAGGCUUACCAAGGCGACGAUCCGUAGCUGGUCUGAGAGGACGACCAGCCACACUGGGACUGAGACACGGCCCAGACUCCUACGGGAGGCAGCAGUGGGGAAUUUUGGACAAUGGGGGCAACCCUGAUACAGCCAUGCCGCGUGAGCGAAGAAGGCCUUCGGGUUGUAAACCGCUUUUGUUCGGGAAGAAAUCCUCUGGGCUAAUACCCCGGGGGGAUGACGGUACCGGAAGAAUAAGCACCGGCUAACUACGUG
rnacentral:rRNA from 1 species